rnacentral:tRNA from 1 species
CGGCCCGUAGCUCAGUUGGUAGAGCGGCGGAUUCUUAACCCGUGUGGCGUAGGUUCAAGUCCUACCGGGCCGAC